AACGAACGCUGGCGGCAUGCCUAACACAUGCAAGUCGAACGAGACCUUCGGGUCUAGUGGCGCACGGGUGCGUCACGCGUGGGAACCUGCCCUUAGGUUCGGAAUAACUCCCCGACAGGGGUGCUAAUACCGGAUAAUGUCUUCGGACCAAAGAUUUAUCGCCUUUGGAUGGGCCCGCGUUGGAUUAGCUAGUUGGUAGGGUAAAAGCCUACCAAGGCGACGAUCCAUAGCUGGUCUGAGAGGAUGAUCAGCCACACUGGGACUGAGACACGGCCCAGACUCCUACGGGAGGCAGCAGUGGGGAAUAUUGGACAAUGGGCGAAAGCCUGAUCCAGCAAUGCCGCGUGAGUGAUGAAGGCCUUAGGGUUGUAAAGCUCUUUUACCCGGGAUGAUAAUGACAGUACCGGGAGAAUAAGCUCCGGCUAACUCCGUG
rnacentral:rRNA from 1 species